UCCCUGAUGACUCAGCUGGUAAAGAACCUGCCUGCAGUGUGGGAGACCCGGGUUUGAUCCCUGGUUUGGGAA
rnacentral:tRNA from 1 species